UUCACUCCUGAAGCCAGCGAGACCACGAGCCUACUGGGAGGAACGAACAACUCCCGACGCGCCGCCUUAAGAGCUGUAACACUCACCGCGAAGGUCUGCAGCUUCACUCCUGAGCCAGCGAGACCACGAACCCACCAGAAGGAAAAAACUCCGAACACAUCUGAACAUCAGAAGCAACAAACUCCGGACACGCCGCCUUUAAGAACUGUAACACUCACUGCGAGGGUCCGCGGCUUCAUUCUUGAAGUGAGUGAGACCAAGAACCCACCAGUUCUGGACACAAUUUCAAGUCCUCAGGGGCCAUCAAUAUUCUGAAAAUGGCAGUGAUUUUUAUUCAACCUGUAUAAGGCACUUUCACCAUGUACCUGGAAGCAACAUCUACAUCUUUUUCAGGUUUCCUCUGUCCACUAUGAAGGACUUUGUGACCACAUUCUGACUCUGAUGAGAUCCUGCCCAGAAUUGACCUGAACCCCAAUAAUUCACCUUUCUCUCAGGAAUCUAGAUGCUGGGGACACAAGGUCCACCUUCCAGGAAUAUGGCCAUGACACCAGAAAUCACAAACAUGAUGAGAAUGGAAUGACUGGGGAAGAAGUGCCAGAUGCUUCACUUGUAAAUGAAGACCCAGCCUCUGGGGAUGCAGAUACCACCUCCCUGAAGAAGCUGAAUAUCUGCAGAUAAGUGGAGUUCACCAAUGAUGAGGAGCGGGAUGGAGAAAGGAGGUAGGGAGAGUCAUCCAAGGAACAUGAGCAACAUGUUAAAAGG
rnacentral:lncRNA from 10 species